rnacentral:rRNA from 1 species
AUGACGGUAAGGCCUACGGCGCGUGAUGGCUCGGGCCCUUGACUCUGGGAUAAGCCUGGGAAACUGGGUCUAAUACCGGAUACGACCAUCUGGCGCAUGUCAUGGUGGUGGAAAGCUUUUGUGGUUUUGGAUGGACUCGCGGCCUAUCAGCUUGUUGGUGGGGUAAUGGCCUACCAAGGCGACGACGGGUAGCCGGCCUGAGAGGGUGACCGGCCACACUGGGACUGAGACACGGCCCAGACUCCUACGGGAGGCAGCAGUGGGGAAUAUUGCACAAUGGGCGCAAGCCUGAUGCAGCGACGCCGCGUGAGGAAUGACGGCCUUCGGGUUGUAAACCUCUUUCAGUAGGGAAGAAGCCGUGAGGUGACGGUACCUGCGGAAGAAGCGCCGGCUAACUACGUGCCAGCAGCCGCGGUAAUACGUAGGGCGCAAGCGUUAUCCGGAAUUAUUGGGCGUAAAGAGCUCGUAGGCGGUUUGUCGCGUCUGCUGUGAAAGACCGGGGCUCAACUCCGGUUCUGCAGUGGGUACGGGCAGACUAGAGUGCAGUAGGGGAGACUGGAAUUCCUGGUGUAGCGGUGAAAUGCGCAGAUAUCAGGAGGAACACCGAUGGCGAAGGCAGGUCUCUGGGCUGUACCUGACGCUGAGGCGCGUACGCUCGCGAGCUAACAGGCUUCAGAUACCCGUGACAGUCCAUGCCGCUAACGUUCGGCACUAGGUGUCGGCGGAAAUUUCUACGUUUUCGCCGCGUACACUAA